CUGGCUCAUUCAACUUCAAAGAAAACCACAAACUUAAGUGCUCUCCCUGUGAUUAUAACCGAACAAACCAUGCGCUGGAAAACGGGGGCCAUCUUUUCUCCCGAAAGCAGGCAGCGGUACUUGGUCGUCGAGUGUCUGAAACUCCAAGUCGGACACUCAACUCCGCGAACACUGGUCAUUUUGUACAAACGCCCGCUUCAUUUCACGACAAGCCAAGAGAGCGCUGUUCAGUAGGAUUGUUCACAUGAACCAGACGAGCAAUCGCUACCUAUGAGUCAGGG